rnacentral:tRNA from 1 species
GCUCCGGUAGUAUAGCCCGGUUAAAUAAAGCCGAAAGUAUGGCGGGCUCUCGACCCGUCGACGCGGGUUCAAAUCCCGCCCGGAGCACCA